rnacentral:rRNA from 1 species
UACGGAGGGGGCUAGCGUUGUUCGGAAUUACUGGGCGUAAAGAGCUCGUAGGCGGUCUGUCGCGUCUGCUGUGAAAACUCGGGGCUUAACCCCCGGGCCUGCAGUGGGGUACGGGCAGACUAGAGUGCGGUAGGGGAGACUGGAAUUCCUGGUGUAGCGGUGAAAUGCGCAGAUAUCAGGAGGAACACCGGUGGCGAAGGCGGGUCUCUGGGCCGUAACUGACGCUGAGGAGCGAAAGCAUGGGGAGCGAACAGG